UUUCCGUAGGUGAACCUGCGGAAGGAUCAUUAAAAAAGACCUCGAUUUUAAAGGUCUAAUAAUAUCCUACCCUUUGUGAAUUUGUGUUUUGAUAUUUUUAAUUAUGUGUCUUUCCCUGUUUGAUAGAGCUGUUUCGAUAAUGAAAAUCACCAGGGGAAUGAGUAAUAAAAAACCUUUUUUUUAAAUUAAACUUUUUGUAUUCAUUUGUCUAAAAUUAUUUUUAUAAUAUAAAAACAACUUUUGACAAUGGAUCUCUUGGUUCUCGCAACGAUGAAGAACGCAGCAAAAUGCGAUAAGUAGUGUGAAUUGCAGAAUACGUGAAUCAUCGAAUCUUCGAACGCAUAUUGCACUUUUUUAGUUUACUAAAAAAGUAUGUCUGUUUGAGUACCAGUAAAAUAUUCUCAUAAAAACUAUUGUUUUUAUGGUUAUGAGUGUUUUACAACGAUACAAGUUGUUUCACUUUAAAUUUUUUUUUUAAAAUUUGAAAUUUUUCUAAUUUUAAAAUAAAAUUGGAUAAAAUUUUCCCGUAAAAAGGAAUAACCUAAAACAAUUUUAAUUUUAAAAUAAAAGAAAAAGUAUUCAUAAAGGAAAAUUUAACAAAAAUAACUUGAUCUCAAAUCAGAUAAGAGUACCCGCUGAACUUAAGCAUAUCAAUAAGCGGAGGAAAAGAAACUAACAAGGAUUCCCUUAGUAACGGCGAGUGAAGCGGGAAGAGCUCAAAUUUGAAAUCUUCAAGGUUUUACCUUGACGAAUUGUAGUUUAAAGAAGUGUUUUCUGUUGAAGUUUUGGUAAAAGUUCUUUGGAAUAGGACAUCAUAGAGGGUGAGAAUCCCGUAUUUGACCAUUAUUUUCAGCUGUGUGAUACACUUUCAAAGAGUCGGAUUGUUUGGGAAUGCAGUCCAAAAUGGGUGGUAAAUUUCAUCUAAAGCUAAAUAUUGGCGAGAGACCGAUAGCGAACAAGUACCGUGAGGGAAAGAUGAAAAGAACUUUGAAAAGAGAGUUAAACAGUACGUGAAAUUGUCAAAAGGGAAGCGUUUGACACCAGUGUUGUUUUCUCGAAAAUCAAUUAAAAAAAGUUGGAUUUUGUGUUGUAUUGACCUUAACAGCUUUCUUCACUCUUUUCCUGCUUUUUUUAAUGCACUUUUCGUUUAACAAGUCAACAUCAGUUUCUUUUGUUGUAAAAAGGUCAUUGGAAGGUGGCUUUCUUUUCGGAGAAAGUGUUUAUAGCCUUUGAUCCCUGCAAUCGGAGAGACUGAGGUCUGCAGCGUAGAUCCUUCGGGGUUAGAUACAUUUGUGCUAAGUUAUAGCUUUUUAUAGACAACUUGUUGACUAUAUUUAGUCUUGUAGCUUACUCGCUUAUGCUAUUUUACCUACGCUUAGGAUGUUG
rnacentral:misc_RNA from 1 species